rnacentral:rRNA from 1 species
UCCAGACUCCUACGGGAGGCAGCAGUGAGGAAUAUUGGUCAAUGGGCUUACGCCUGAACCAGCCAAGUCGCGUGAGGGAAGACUGCCCUAUGGGCUGUAAACCUCUUUUGUCAGGGAGCAACGCCGGCUACGUGUAGCCGGACUGAGAGUACCUGAAGAAAAAGCAUCGGCUAACUCCGUGCCAGCAGCCGCGGUAAUACGGAGGAUGCGAGCGUUAUCCGGAUUUAUUGGGUUUAAAGGGUGCGUAGGUGGUUAAUUAAGUCAGCGGUGAAAGUUUGUGGCUCAACCAUAAAAUUGCCGUUGAAACUGGUUGACUUGAGUAUAUUUGAGGUAGGCGGAAUGCGUGGUGUAGCGGUGAAAUGCAUAGAUAUCGCGCAGAACUCCGAUUGCGAAGGCAGCAUGCCGGCGCCACACUGACGCUGAGGCACGAAAGCGUGGGUAUCGAACAGGAUUAGAUACCCUGGUAAU